GGACAGAGCAGAGAGAGAGGAAGGGACAGAAGGGGGCUGGCCGGGCCCCAGACAGAGUGGGAAUGACUGAUCCCAGGAGCAGGAAGGUCACAAGGGAAGUGGCCUUGAGGUGGCGCCAGGGCCAGGAGGGGUGCAGCGGGGAGCGUUGCCAUGGCUCAGCAGUCAUGGGACAAAGCUGGACGGAAAUCACACUGUGGGAUGCUCCCUGGCCAAGGCCAGGUUGCCCAGAAAGGAAGGGCAAACUUCCUGGAUGGGCACCCGGAUGCCGAGCCCUGGGGGGGAGGGCAGAGAUAGGGGCUGUAGUGUUGUUAAGACAGUGGGGUCUCUUGGCCAAGACCUUGAACAAAGCCUGAACAGAGCAUGCACCCCAAAGGAUAUGUGCUGGAGACAUAUUGAUGAAACACCUCCUCCUGCCAACUCCAGGGGCCCCAGUGGACUGGAAGGACCUGGCUGCAGGCCCUCACGUACCCAUGGCCACUACAUGAGCACUGCUGGUCCAUUGCCACCGUGUCCCUCCUGGUUCCAGCCCCACCCUCACUGGCACCUUGGACUCCAGCGGGUUGAAAAUUUCCAAGAUUUCUCAGGUUCUUUAUCACUUCUGGGUCUCUGUGUGGGCUGCCCCCCAUCUGGAAUAAAGCCUUCUACCCAC
rnacentral:lncRNA from 1 species